rnacentral:lncRNA from 1 species
UGAGAGGUGACACUAUACAUAUUAUAUGUGGGUGGACGUGUGACGGAGUACAACUGUACAAGCAUAGAAUGCACACAUUUCAUAUACCACUUCUGCUAUUGAAAUAUAUACAAAGAAAUAUAAAUCUUAUGUUAUCAUAUUCGAAUGUUAACUAUGUUUAUUACAUUCUGCAUGUCCCAUGUAUAGAUGCAUGAAAGGAAGAGUUAUAAGGCCUUGUAUAUUUUUGCAGAGGAAAGUUUGAUGUGGAAAAGGGCAUCAUCUUAUUCACCAGUCAUUCUAGUCCUUGAGCACGGAAGGAUAGUCAAAUAUCUCAGCACAAAUAGUUGCGGCCUGGAUUUAAGCUGUCUUCAAAGCCGCAUAUGUUGCACACCACUCUGACUACUUGGAUGCAAACAGAAGCAUUUCGACUCAGCAAGUGACAGGCAGGAAAGUGCAUUAGUGCACUCAGAGCGGCCUCAGCCUACAGCCCGGGUGGAUUUAGGGACCCAAGCUGUAUUCCAUGGACUCCAUGUGGCAAGACUGGCAGCUGGGCCUUGCUAAAGAAAAGCUGGUACUUGUGGAUUCUGACCUGAAUGAAGACUAAGAGACAAUUGGUGUAAACUCAAGACAGAAGCAUACUGAUGAUAGUAAAGGUGCUGACCUGCAUGCUGCUUCUUCUUGCGCUUGACAGCCAUAG